UACGUAGGGUGCGAGCGUUAAUCGGAAUUACUGGGCGUAAAGCGUGCGCAGGCGGUUUUGUAAGCCAGAUGUGAAAUCCCCGGGCUUAACCUGGGAAUGGCAUUUGGGACUGCAAAGCUGGAGUGCGGCAGAGGGGACUGGAAUUCCUGGUGUAGCGGUGAAAUGCGCAGAUAUCAGGAGGAACACCGGUGGCGAAGGCGGGUCUCUGGGCCGAUACUGACGCUGAGGAGCGAAAGCGUGGGGAGCGAACAGG
rnacentral:rRNA from 1 species